UGUCCCAGCUGCUGAGAUAGUGCUUGUCACAUCAUAGGUAUUCAACUCUUUGCUGAAUGAAUGAAGACAUUAACAAGUGAAAAGUCAAAUAGCAUAGCAAGAUUUGAAGAAUGCUUUCUAGAUAGUGUAAGAAACAUCACAAAGCAGUACAUGAUUAAUUGCUGAAUGAAUCAUACACCAGUAAUUGCUGUAGAAAUCAGAGGAGGCAUCUUAUACAUCUUUGUAUAUCCUCCCGAGCACCUAGCAGGGUGACUUGCUCAUAGUGAAAGCUCAGUCAAUUCUGUGAAUGAAUAAUCACUGCUCUUGAAUGAAGUGAUGAUGUGCAAUUGAAGAACAAGCCGUGUAAGUGCUACAUUAAGAUGGAUGUGUAGUUUCUUAAGUAUCCAUCACCACCCUCCACAGAUUUGAGGUAGUAUGCAUGUGGCAGGUGUUUUGGGGAGGACUGGGUUGGCAAAUGCUUGGAGGUAGGGAGGACACAAGAAAAAGUAUAUUCAUUUAGGGAGGAUAGAUUAAAACCAGGAAACUACACACACAACAAAGAACAGGCAUGACAGUGUACUUUUAAAAAGGAACACAAAAGCUGGCCAACUGUGCAAAUGGUCAACAGGCAGUAAAAGCAAUGGGCAAUGAGAGAAGUGGAAAGAAACCCUAUUUCAGAGGAGUAUUUGGGAAAAUUUAAUGGAUGGAAGAGCAGGUAGAGCCAUUAAUUCAACGAUUAUUUAUUAAGCCUCUACUAUGUACCAGGCACUCUGGUAGGUACUAGGGGAAUUAUGCUGAUAAAUGGCAUUAGGUGAUACAAGUCUGACAGCAGUAGGUGUGGAAAGAAGGAAAGGGAGAUAAAGUAACUGAUUAGAGUAAAAGAAGUGUGGCUUCAAAGAUCCUAGGUGCCUGAUGACCUCAACAGGACAAAACAGGGCUCAGGUCACCAUCAAAAUUAGGGUUGUUUCACUAAACUGGGGAGUGAAAAACAUUAACAUACCUUAUUUCACCACUUAUUUCAUCUGGGUGAAUGACCUCAUUCCCUGACACCAAAAAGGAUGGCAGCGGUGGGGAGAAAAUGCCGGUGAAAGGCAUUUCCCACCUCCCCCAGUGGCUAUACAGCCUCUUUUCUAUGGUAGCUCUAAUAAGACUCCAUUUUGGUUAAAGAGCUUAUGACCAGCAAGCAAUCCAGAAAACCAAAAUGUCAGUCUUUUAUUUUCAUUCUGGGUAAACAUGAUCAUCAAAACUAUUAGGUAUGGGGGCUAGGCACAGUGGCUCACCCCUGUAAUCCCAGUACUUUGGGAGGCCGAGGUGGGCAGACUGCUUGAGCUCAGGAGUUCAAGACCAACCUGGACAACAGAGUGACACCUCUGUCUCUUCAAAAAAUACAAAAAAAAAAAAGUAUCUGGGCAUGCUGGCACGUGCCUGUGGUCCCAGC
rnacentral:lncRNA from 10 species